GGGCUCAUAGCUCAGUUGGUUAGAGCUGCGGACUCAUAAUCCGUCGGUCCCUGGUUCAAGUCCAGGUGAGCCCA
rnacentral:tRNA from 1 species